ensembl:snRNA U6 U6 spliceosomal RNA
AUGCUCAUUUCAUGGUCACUGCCACUAAAACUGAGCUCUGCAGAGAAGAUUAGCAUGGCCUUUACACAGGGAUGACUCACAAAUGUGUGAAGCUUUUCACAUAUCA